rnacentral:rRNA from 1 species
GACGAACGCUGGCGGCGUGCUUAACACAUGCAAGUCGAGCGGUAAGGCCCUUUCGGGGGUACACGAGCGGCGAACGGGUGAGUAACACGUGGGUGACCUGCCCUCAGCUCUGGGAUAAGCCUGGGAAACCGGGUCUAAUACUGGAUAUGACUCCAUGACGCAUGUUGUGGGGUGGAAAGCCUUGUGCGGCUGAGGAUGGGCCCGCGGCCUAUCAGCUUGUUGGUGGGGUGANGGCCUACCAAGGCGACGACGGGUAGCCGGCCUGAGGGGGCGACCGGCCACACUGGGGACUGAGACACGGCCCAGACUCCUACGGGAGGCAGCAGUGGGGAAUCUUGCGCAAUGGGCGAAAGCCUGACGCAGCGACGCCGCGUGAGGGAUGACGGCCUGGUGU